AGAAUCAACGCUGGCGGCGUGCCUAACACAUGCAAGUCGCACGAGAAAGGGGAGCAAUCCCUGAGUAAAGUGGCGCACGGGUGAGUAACACGUGAAUGAUCUACCUCCGAGUGGGGAAUAACUGAGAGAAAUCUUAGCUAAUACCGCAUAACACUUACGAGUCAAAGCAGCAAUGCGCUUGGAGAGGAGUUCGCGGCCGAUUAGCUAGUUGGCGGGGUAAUGGCCACCAAGGCGAUGAUCGGUAUCCGGCCUGAGAGGGCGCACGGACACACUGGGAACUGAAACACGGUCCAGACUCCUACGGGAGGCAGCAGUGGGGAAUUUUGCGCAAUGGGGGAAACCCUGACGCAGCAACGCCGCGUGGAGGAUGAAGCCCCUUGGGGUGUAAACUCCUUUCGAUCGGGAAGAUAAUGACGGUACCGAUAGUAGAAGCCCGGCUAACUUCGCGCCAGCAGCCGC
rnacentral:rRNA from 1 species